rnacentral:lncRNA from 1 species
CGGCUCAGUGAAAUAAGAUGGUCGGUUGUGGAGCGGCCUUCUCGAAAUCCACACUGGUAGGGAUCAAGCAUGUUGUUUGAUUCGAGGAAAUGCAAAUAACGGCGAUUUAUCAUUUUUUCUAAAAGCUUACAUAAGCAGCUUGUAAGUGCUAUCGGACGAUAGCUUGUUACCAAGGAUGGGCCUUUACCCUGUUUCGAAACCUGGACAACGAUAGCGUCCUUCCAUGCCGCUGAAAG